rnacentral:lncRNA from 1 species
AUUCCUAUUCUGGUGGAAAUAAUGGGGGAAAUAUCGAAAAUCACCCAUGUCAAAUUUGCAAUAGGAAAGGGCACGGGGCUUUAAAUUGUUUAGAUAGGUUCAAUGCUAAAAAAUUUGCUCCUACUCAUAACAGGAAACUAAUUGCGGUGGGUCUAUCAUCACACUCGGCCAACUUGGUUUCUAAGCAAUCGGAGGGGGUAUCAUCAGUUUGGGAUCCAGAUUCGGGUGCUACUACUCAUGUGACAGGUAUAACAAAUAAUUUACAGUUGGCUAUUCCUUAUAAUGGUCCGACAACUAUUGCUACAGCUAAUGGGGGUGCAAUGCAAAUUUCACAUUCGGGAAAGUCUGAAUUCUCGAAUGGACAGAGGACGUUUAUGCUUAAUGAGUUACUAUUGGUUCCUACAACAACCAAAAAUUUGCUAUCGGUAUAUCAGUUUUGUUUUGAUAAUAAUGUGUUUAUGGAAUUUAAUUCACAGAAUGUAAAGGUCAAGGAUGUUGUCACUAAGGAAGUACUAUUGGAAGGAAUUCAGGAGGACGGAUUAUAUCGGUUACCAAUUGAUAUUAGUCGGAGUCCCGUUGCUUUGUUGGGUGAAAGAACGUCGAAUAAAAUUUGGCACUGCCGUCUGGGAUAUUUGCAUCAGAAGGCGGUAGACAAAUUAAUAAGAGAAAAGUUAAUUGAUAUUUCUUGUAAAAAUGUGGUUUGUUGUAACUCUUGUAGGGUAGAGAAAUCAUCAGCCUUACCUCACAGGGUUAGAACAACAGUUUAUAAAAAAUCAUUAUCAUUGAUUCUGGC